UGGGGAAGCGGUCUCCCCGUUAGGCAGCAUGCCCAAGAAUCGC
rnacentral:ncRNA from 1 species